GAACCGGAGCAGGGGUCUCCCGGCUCGGCCCGGAUUGGCCUGGCCCGGUCCUGGCCCCGCGCUGCCGGCCAGCGGCGCUCCAUUAGCCCCGCGGCCACCGUGGCGGGCCCCGCUCGGGAGAGCGGCGCUCCGAGCACCUGUUGCUCGGGGUGUUCGGCCGUGACAGGGCAGCAGAAGUGGUCUCACGACGGUUCGUUUCCGGUCGGGGAGCCAGGAGGCUCUCGGGCAGGUGCCGCGCCCGACCUGGCCACAGCGCCUCCGAUAAAGGUGACCGGCUGGCCUGGCCUCUCCCGGCUGAGCGUUUGCUGCUGCUGGAAGAAAACUAGUCCAGAGCAUGUGCCACCAGCAGCCUGGCUGUCAGCCUCCUGUCAGGGAGGCACAGCAGAACUGACACUGCCAGCUCAUGCCCAGCCACAAACAUAGCCCUCCCUCCCCAGUGAGAAGAGAGAGGAAAAGCAUAAGGGGAAACAAGCCUGGUGUGUCUUGCUGUGGACCUGCUGCCCCAGAACUUCGCUGUUCUUGCUGCUGUAGAAGAGCUCCCAGCCUUCACCUCACUGCCAGGUCUACAAGUGGCCAUGGGCUCACCCCCUGGGCAAGUGCUUUUCUGCAUUGCUACUUCAGCACUCACAGUUCUAGGCAUGCGUGUCACUUAGUCCAAAAAAGUUGCAAAAAUAAAAGAAAUUGAAGAAAAAAUGUUGAGGUUUAAAAAAGUAUUGGGGAUAAAAUUUGUCACUUGUUGCAAUCUUGCUCUGAUUUUGUAUCAUCGAAUUUGCUACCACCUGCAACAUCCCUUUCUUGUCUCUUAUGUUGCUGCAAUUAAACUAUACACCAUCACACAA